CGACCUUGAAAUACCACCCUUUAAUGUUUGAUGUUCUAACGUGGACCCGUAAUCCGGGUUGCGGACAGUGUCUGGUGGGUAGUUUGACUGGGGCGGUCUCCUCCUAAAGAGUAACGGAGGAGCACGAAGGUUGGCUAAUCCUGGUCGGACAUCAGGAGGUUAGUGCAAUGGCAUAAGCCAGCUUGACUGCGAGCGUGACGGCGCGAGCAGGUGCGAAAGCAGGUCAUAGUGAUCCGGUGGUUCUGAAUGGAAGGGCCAUCGCUCAACGGAUAAAAGGUACUCCGGGGAUAACAGGCUGAUACCGCCCAAGAGUUCAUAUCGACGGCGGUGUUUGGCACCUCGAUGUCGGCUCAUCACAUCCUGGGGCUGAAGUAGGUCCCAAGGGUAUGGCUGUUCGCCAUUUAAAGUGGUACGCGAGCUGGGUUUAGAACGUCGUGAGACAGUUCGGUCCCUAUCUGCCG
rnacentral:rRNA from 1 species